AAGUGGGCUGUCAGCAAUGUUGGAUUCCCAGCAUCAAACAACAAUGUCACUUAUACAUUAGACAUUCCGCGCCAAUUUGCUAGCCAAGACUCUGAAUUAUUUCAACAGCUAGACUGUCAGCUGGAUCCCUACGGUAUUAUGGACUUGGGCUUCAGUCUGGUAAUUACAGCGUGCUCCUACAGUUUGCAGAGAAUCAAAUUGAAGACAAUGGUACAUGGAAAAGUCUUGGAAGGCGUGUGUUUGAUAUCCUUAUUCAGGGAAAUCGGGUGGAAAGAGAUUUUGACAUACGCAAGGCGGGUGGGGGUCGUUCGUAUAAACCUGUUCAGAGAAACUAUACUGCUCGGGUGACUGGAAAGUUUCUUGAAAUACAUCUUUUCUGGGCUGGAAAAGGAACAUGCUGCAUACCUGUCCAGGGAGCUUAUGGACCUUUGAUAUCAGCUCUCAGCGUUACUACAUUGUUUCAACCAAGACCUAUAAGCUGGUAUGUCUUAUAGGUCUUUUAAAAGAAAAAAGAGAUUGCGUGCAGCACAAGAUGAGUUGGCAGGCAUCGAUGCCAAAGCAUAUAGUUAUGCUGAACUGAAGUCAGCAACUGGAGAUUUCGACCCUUCAAACAAGCUUGGUGAAGGAGGCUUUGGAUGUGUCUAUAAGGUAAACUAAUGUACCUGUUAAUAAACUUGUGCUAUGUCUGUAAUUACAGGGAAUCCUGAAUGGAAAUGUAGUUGCAGUCAAACAGUUGGCUGUAACAUCUCAUCAAAGUGAAAGACCAAUUUGUAACAGAAAUAGCUACGAUAUCUGCAGUACAGCACUGAAAUCUUGUAAAGUUAAAUGGAUGUUGCAUUGAUGGGCAAAAGCGUUUUGGCUUUAUACAAAUUUUAGUAAAUCCUUAAGCCUCAUAUGGGCAAGAUUAAGUUCUAUUGCUAGUAAAUGUUUCACUAAAAACAAUUUACAGGUGUUUCUGAUUCUGAUCAUUAUGAAGAAUUAAAGAUAAUCAUUACUAAAGGUAUGUUCUAGUAUGUAGUAUGCAGUAGUUAUACUAGUCAA